CGGAGGCGGCGAUGGUCAAAGAUAUACAACCGAAACUUGUAUUUCCUGCUAAAUCACUUUUAUAAUUAUAUUUCCUGUCAAAUCAUUCAUAACUGGUUGCUAUCUAUUUUAUAUGUAUCAACAUGGACAAUAAACAGAAUGUUAUAGUGAUAAACAUAUUCCUUUUAUGUAAGUUUUAAUUCUAUAAUACUUUGAUUUAAGAAAUAAAUUGCUAGAUAUUCCUUAAUAUCUGGAAAUAUAUUGUUCUUGGUAACAUUUGUUGUAAGUUGAUAUGAGUGAGUUUAGUGUAAAACAAUAUCUUAUUUAAAAAAGUUAAUGAAUUGAAUUGGAUUGUGCAACAGGCUAAACCACACCAUUAUGUCCACUAAAUUGCAUUCAGACGACAUAAUUUUUACAUUAUGAUACCACAGAAUAAUUCAUUUUAAAACUUCCUCAUAAUUGACUGGUAGGAUGCUUCAAUUAAAACCUUUUUUGGCACAUUUGAGAUCCAUAAAUGUUUAGUAAGCUAUGAGUGAGUGUUGCUUAUGAUGACAAAUUAACAAAAAUCCUUCAUCUUUCCACGAAUAUAUGAGUUCCCCAAUUGCUUCUUAUUUCCUCAUGAUUACAUGACAUAACUUAAAAGCAAAACGACGGACACUUAUAGUGACACAGGAACUACCAAACUUUCCGUUAUUCCUCUCGUGGUUAAAUAGGGUUCUAAUUUUCCAAUCUUUAGUCAUUUGUAUUGAGUUUCAUAAACUUUUAAACUUUUGUUUUUUCUUUAUUUCAAUAUUUUUUAAAGAGAAGAUGUUUAAAAAAAAAAAGUAAAAGCACAAAUAUAUACAGAACUUCGAGGAAAAAUUCUAAAAGGAAAGUCCCUAAUCAAAUGACAAAAUGAAAAGCUCAAACACAUCAAACGAAUGGAUAACAACUGUCAUAUUCCUGACUUGGUACAGGCCGAUUUCUAAUGUAGAAAUGGUCGAUUAAACCUGGUUUUAAAGAUAGCUAAACCUCUCACUUGUAUGACAGUCGCAUCAAAUUCCAUUAUAUUGACAACGAGGUGUUAACAAAACAAACAGACAUAAUAGGUAAAAAUGCCAUAAGUAGGGAUACAGCAGUCAACAUUGUGUUAUAAUCUUAAUCUGUUAAUUUUGCAAUACAAGUUAUCCAGAAGAAGUUUCGCUUCAUUAUUUCUACAGUAUUCAACAAUAACUCUGUUUUCAUAACAAAAUAAUUGAAUAAUUAUAACAACAAAAUACCCAAUGUAAACCUCAUACAAGAACCUAAUUUAUUUAUCAUGCAGGUUUCCUUUGCUUCGGAAACAUAUUUUGUAACUAUGUAUGCAAUACCAAGACAGAAUGUAGCAAUACAGCUGGAGAUGGCGUGUGUGAUGUAAGUACAAAAU
rnacentral:lncRNA from 1 species